rnacentral:tRNA from 1 species
UAGAAAGUAAUAUAAAGGAAGUAUAGAGGACUUUGAUUCCUCUUGUGUAGGUUCGAUUCCUGCCUCUCUAA